UACGUAGGGUGCGAGCGUUAAUCGGAAUUACUGGGCGUAAAGCGUGCGCAGGCGGUGAUGUAAGACAGUUGUGAAAUCCCCGGGCUCAACCUGGGAACUGCCUUUGUGACUGCAAGGCUUGAGUGCGGCAGAGGGGGAUGGAAUUCCGCGUGUAGCAGUGAAAUGCGUAGAUAUGCGGAGGAACACCGAUGGCGAAGGCAGCACUCUGGGACGUGACUGACGCUGAGACGCGAAAGCGUGGGGAGCAAACAGG
rnacentral:rRNA from 1 species